rnacentral:tRNA from 1 species
GGUAGCUCAGUGGCAGAGCACUUGCUUGGCAGGUAUGAGACCCUGGGUUUGAUUCCUAGUACUG